rnacentral:lncRNA from 1 species
UAAGAGAGAGAGAGCUUGGAGGUGGGUUGAAGCAGCUGUUUCUGACGGUGUAUUAAAGACCAAUAAUUCUGGGGCAACAGGGAUUAGGGACGGUCGGGGUUGGAGACCGGGUGAGCUGGAUGUGCCACAUCAGCGGAGAAACCAAAAAAAAAAAACUUAACCCACAAUCUCACUUUACCAAUAUGCGUAUAUCACUUCCAUCUCUCUCACACCAGAUCUCUACUUUGCUGUUGCUGCUCCAUGUGGGAAGCCAUUAACUCUCUGUUUCGUUGCUUCCCUUCCCUCUCUCUCUUCUAGCAGCCUUCAAGGUAUGCAUACUAUUACUCUCUCAUACGCCUAAAUCUGGGUAGAACAGACUUAAAUUCCCAAAACCCUAAAAAGUUAUUGGAAAAGGAAAAUUUGAGUGUUGCUAGAUUCUUUCCGCUUGUAAAUUUUGUGUUAAUUAUUGUUUUGGGUGUAAAUUUUGUGUAAAUUCUUGUUUUGGGUAUAAAUUUUGUGCAAAUUCUUGUUUUGUAAAUUUGACAGUAUUCUCCCCCAACCUCUUCUUAGUUUUUAGCGACGGACAACAUAUAGCGACGGACAACAUCGACGGUUUUAUAUAGCGACGGACCGAAUCGUCGUCCGGUCCGUCGCUAAAAGGGGUGAGCAAGGUGAGCUAGAUAAGGGAUGAGCUUAAGAUCCAGACCGUAUAUAUAUAUAUAUAUACACAUUUAAAGUUAUUAGACUCACAACUUAUAGGUUUACAAUGGUUGGAAUAGGAUAUUGUGAAAUACUAUAAUUGGGCAAAAUAAAUUUGAAAGAAGCACUACAAGCGUCAAUAAAUAAUUUUUUUAUUGAUGUAUUUUGACUCUCCUCUAAAAAUGUUCUGGUUCCGCCGCUGAGUAUUAAUAUCUAAUAGAGCGUGCAUUGAUUAAACUAGGUCUGUCAAUGCACCAAAAUAUGUUGAAUUAAUGGAGGAUACAGAACAUACACGUAAAAAGAUGUUAACUGAAACGAACAAUAGUCUAAAAGAUUAGGUUUUGCUAAAGCUUAGAUCUUGGAAAAUCCAAUGAGGAUGUUUACUUUUUUGAUUAAAAUUUGUGCUUGAACUAGCCAUGGUGGUAUUAUUCGUGUCACUGAAUUCCUCUCCUUUAACAGUUUUAAUAAAACCAAAUGAGUCUACAUCCCUCAAGUCGUCUAAUUUUAGGCUGCAAUGUUGCUUGUGGAUUUGUGAUCAUCUUUUUUUGCCAAUUCUACCUCCAAUGCUCAGUGUCAGCUCUACAUCACUACACUUCUCAACGAUAUUCAUCCCACUGAGUUUCCCGGGCAUGUGAGUACUAAGUCCUGUUUGGUCUUUAUCGAUGGCACUAACAGAAAAUUUUGUAUAUAUAAUUUGUAUACAAAUGCCACUAAAAUGCCCCUAAUUAAUGAUUUCACCAAAAGGGUAUGUGAAUUUUUUCUAGUUUCUUUUAUUAGGUUUUAUGUAUUUCUUAUUUCAAAAUUUUGUUAAAGUUCAUAUUUUUCUUUACUUGAUAAUGGUUUAACAAUGCAUUUUUCUUAUAAAAAUUUAGGGAUUAGAAGGGAAACUUUUUAUUUGUCAUUUUUGAAGAAAGACAACAUGGCAUCAUAAAGCAUUGUAGAAAGCAACGAAUUUGAUAUAUUCAAAGCAAAGCAAUGUCAUUGUGGACAAUUUGCGAUUUGUAAAAUUACCCGCUUCGAUAAGAAUGGAAAUGAAGGUCUAAUCUACUAUGCUUGCCCGAAUGGAAAAUGCGAUUUAUUGGGAUGGUGCAAGGCUAUAAAUGAAGUUUUGUUUUGUUAGAAGUUGUAAUGGAGGUGAAGUUGUGAAAGAAAUUGUAAUUGACAAAGUGUAAUGGAAUUUAUAAUGACAACGCUUUCUAUUAGACAAGAGUUGAAAACUCGGAAAGUUUCUACUUACUUGUGUGUGUAUAUGUAUACAUGAGAAAAUGUUGUGCUUUUCUAUGUUGUGGUGUCUUGCCGGCAUUGGCAUUGUAUAUGGAACUCAAAUAUCUUCUUGUUGCGAAAUUAGAGCCCUAUAAAUUCUGUUAUAUACUAGUUAAGCAUCACCACCAUUAUAUGCAACACUGAAAUUUAGUACACAUUUUCUAUUCAAGGGAAAAGGUAAAAGAGGG